rnacentral:rRNA from 1 species
GGGUUGUGAGGUUAAGCGACUAAGCGUACACGGUGGAUGCCUUGGCAGUCAGAGGCGAUGAAGGGCGUGCUAAUCUGCGAUAAGCGCCGGUAAGGUGAUAUGAACCGUUAUAACCGGCGAUACCCGAAUGGGGAAACCCAGUGUGAUUCGUCACACUAUCAUUAACUGAAUCCAUAGGUUAAUGAGGCGAACCGGGGGAACUGAAACAUCUAAGUACCCCGAGGAAAAGAAAUCAACCGAGAUUCCCCCAGUAGCGGCGAGCGAACGGGGAGGAGCCCAGAGCCUGAAUCAGCAUGUGUGUUAGUGGAAGCGUCUGGAAAGGCGCGCGAUACAGGGUGACAGCCCCGUACACAAAAGCGCAUGUGCUGUGAGCUCGAUGAGUAGGGCGGGACACGUGGUAUCCUGUCUGAAUAUGGGGGGACCAUCCUCCAAGGCUAAAUACUCCUGACUGACCGAUAGUGAACCAGUACCGUGAGGGAAAGGCGAAAAGAACCCCGGCGAGGGGAGUGAAAAAGAACCUGAAACCGUGUACGUACAAGCAGUGGGAGCACCCUUCGGGGUGUGACUGCGUACCUUUUGUAUAAUGGGUCAGCGACUUAUAUUCUGUAGCAAGGUUAACCGUAUAGGGGAGCCGGAGGGAAACCGAGUCUUAAUUGGGCGUUAAGUUGCAGGGUAUAGACCCGAAACCCGGUGAUCUAGCCAUGGGCAGGUUGAAGGUUGGGUAACACUAACUGGAGGACCGAACCGACUAAUGUUGAAAAAUUAGCGGAUGACCUGUGGCUGGGGGUGAAAGGCCAAUCAAACCGGGAGAUAGCUGGUUCUCCCCGAAAGCUAUUUAGGUAGCGCCUCGUGAAUUCAUCUCCGGGGGUAGAGCACUGUUUCGGCUAGGGGGCCAUCCCGGCUUACCAACCCGAUGCAAACUGCGAAUACCGGAGAAUGUUAUCACGGGAGACACACGGCGGGUGCUAACGUCCGUCGUGAAGAGGGAAACAACCCAGACCGCCAGCUAAGGUCCCAAAGUCAUGGUUAAGUGGGAAACGAUGUGGGAAGGCCCAGACAGCCAGGAUGUUGGCUUAGAAGCAGCCAUCAUUUAAAGAAAGCGUAAUAGCUCACUGGUCGAGUCGGCCUGCGCGGAAGAUGUAACGGGGCUAAACCAUGCACCGAAGCUGCGGCAGCGAACGUAUCACCCAAGACAACUUUACGGAGUUGACGAUUGACGGAGCGAAGCGACGUCAAAGCGUUCAUUAAAGUCGAGUUGGCUUAGGGAUACGUUCGUUGGGUAGGGGAGCGUUCUGUAAGCCUGUGAAGGUGUGUCGUGAGGCAUGCUGGAGGUAUCAGAAGUGCGAAUGCUGACAUAAGUAACGAUAAAGCGGGUGAAAAGCCCGCUCGCCGGAAGACCAAGGGUUCCUGUCCAACGUUAAUCGGGGCAGGGUGAGUCGACCCCUAAGGCGAGGCCGAAAGGCGUAGUCGAUGGGAAACGGGUUAAUAUUCCCGUACUUGGUGUUACUGCGAAGGGGGGACGGAGAAGGCUAUGUUGGCCGGGCGACGGUUGUCCCGGUUUAAGCGUGUAGGUGUGUGUUCCAGGUAAAUCCGGUUCACUUUAACACUGAGGCGUGACGACGAGGCACUACGGUGCUGAAGCAACAAAUGCCCUGCUUCCAGGAAAAGCCUCUAAGCAUCAGGUAACACGAAAUCGUACCCCAAACCGACACAGGUGGUCAGGUAGAGAAUACCAAGGCGCUUGAGAGAACUCGGGUGAAGGAACUAGGCAAAAUGGUGCCGUAACUUCGGGAGAAGGCACGCUGACACGUAGGUGAAGUGAUUUACUCAUGGAGCUGAAGUCAGUCGAAGAUACCAGCUGGCUGCAACUGUUUAUUAAAAACACAGCACUGUGCAAACACGAAAGUGGACGUAUACGGUGUGACGCCUGCCCGGUGCCGGAAGGUUAAUUGAUGGGGUCAGCGCAAGCGAAGCUCCUGAUCGAAGCCCCGGUAAACGGCGGCCGUAACUAUAACGGUCCUAAGGUAGCGAAAUUCCUUGUCGGGUAAGUUCCGACCUGCACGAAUGGCGUAAUGAUGGCCAGGCUGUCUCCACCCGAGACUCAGUGAAAUUGAACUCGCUGUGAAGAUGCAGUGUACCCGCGGCAAGACGGAAAGACCCCGUGAACCUUUACUAUAGCUUGACACUGAACAUUGAGCCUUGAUGUGUAGGAUAGGUGGGAGGCUUUGAAGUGUGGACGCCAGUCUGCAUGGAGCCGACCUUGAAAUACCACCCUUUAAUGUUUGAUGUUCUAACGUGGACCCGUAAUCCGGGUUGCGGACAGUGUCUGGUGGGUAGUUUGACUGGGGCGGUCUCCUCCUAAAGAGUAACGGAGGAGCACGAAGGUUGGCUAAUCCUGGUCGGACAUCAGGAGGUUAGUGCAAUGGCAUAAGCCAGCUUGACUGCGAGCGUGACGGCGCGAGCAGGUGCGAAAGCAGGUCAUAGUGAUCCGGUGGUUCUGAAUGGAAGGGCCAUCGCUCAACGGAUAAAAGGUACUCCGGGGAUAACAGGCUGAUACCGCCCAAGAGUUCAUAUCGACGGCGGUGUUUGGCACCUCGAUGUCGGCUCAUCACAUCCUGGGGCUGAAGUAGGUCCCAAGGGUAUGGCUGUUCGCCAUUUAAAGUGGUACGCGAGCUGGGUUUAGAACGUCGUGAGACAGUUCGGUCCCUAUCUGCCGUGGGCGCUGGAGAACUGAGGGGGGCUGCUCCUAGUACGAGAGGACCGGAGUGGACGCAUCACUGGUGUUCGGGUUGUCAUGCCAAUGGCACUGCCCGGUAGCUAAAUGCGGAAGAGAUAAGUGCUGAAAGCAUCUAAGCACGAAACUUGCCCCGAGAUGAGUUCUCCCUGAGACUUAGAGUCUCCUGAAGGAACGUUGAAGACGACGACGUUGAUAGGCCGGGUGUGUAAGCGCAGCGAUGCGUUGAGCUAACCGGUACUAAUGAACCGUGAGGCUUAACCUUACAACGCCGAAG